rnacentral:rRNA from 1 species
CCUACGGGAGGCUGCAGUGAGGAAUAUUGGUCAAUGGACGCAAGUCUGAACCAGCCAUGCCGCGUGCAGGAAGACGGCUCUAUGAGUUGUAAACUGCUUUUGUACGAGGGUAAACGCAGAUACGCGUAUCUGUCUGAAAGUAUCUUACGAAUAAGGAUCGGCUAACUCCGUGCCAGCAGCCGCGGUAAUACGGAGGCUUCAAGCGUUAUCCGGAUUUAUUGGGUUUAAAGGGUGCGUAGGCGGUCGGAUAAGCUAGAGGUGAAAUCCCGGGGCUUAACUUCGUACUUGCCUCUGAUACUGUUCGGCUAGAGAGUAGUUGAGGUAUGCGGAAUGUAUGGUGUAGCGGUGAAAUGCUUAGAUAUCAUGCAGAACACCGAUUGCGAAGGCAGCUUACC